UGCCAUAUCUGCACAGGGAGAUGAUGGAAGAGACAGCACCAAGGCCCAAUCCCGCUGCCAAUGCAAUCAAACCUGCAUUGAUUUCAGUGGGGCACAGCUGAGUCCUAUAGCAAAGUUACACUAGCCCAGCAGCCAGGUUUACCUUUUAAAUGGGGGGGAGGUGUUGAUUAAUCUCACCUGCCAUAAAAGGCAGUUCUUGCCAUCACCACCUCAGAACAGAGAUGCCUCUUGCAGAAGAAACCAUAUAGGGUCAGGAUGGGGGAAGUUGUUUGUGCCCCCCCCCCCCCCCCCGAGGGAGAGCACUAGAAUCAUGGAGACUGCUACAGCCUUUAAGCUAGGAUGAUAGAUGAGGAGUAGGAGGGAGGCUUCCUCCAGGGAGCUCCCCGUGCCCUACUGAAUUACCUGGGGAGAGGAGUUUGGCUGUGGGGACCCCUGCUGCUAUGCAUUCCAGAGCCGGAGUCAAUAGAGUCUGCAGGGGUGGCUCUGCAUGUUUCUCCAGCUUUUGUUCCAACCCUAAGACACCUGAGCUGCUGGGGAGUCUCCAUUACCUCCCUGCUUGGGCCCAUGCCCUCCAGCUGCCUCUUGCACAGAGAAGCAGGGCCAGCCCCAGGCACUGAGGCUUAUUCAUAUGGGAGCCUGUGGCCACCACAAUCCUGAGAAGGUUGUACUGGCAGGUAGCAAAGCGGGUGUCACAAGCUUACCUAGAAAGGUUACACUGCUCCCAUCUGGCUAUACCUGAAACAUGGCCCUUAUAUGGCUUGGCACAGAAAUACCAAACCAGUCUCAUUUAACACCAUGUAAUGCUUUCAUAACUGAGCUGUUAAAUGGGUUUCACCCUGAUAAGAGCAGUCAUGCUACCCCCUCCAGAGAGCCAGAUGUGAUUUGCAAUUCAUGAACUCCUGAUUCCUGGAGCAAUGAAGUAAAUCACCCAGGAAUGUUGCCUGACUCUCUUUUCACUAAUACUAGAACAGAUGUCCUUAAAGACUGCCCAAGGUCCGCCCAGGUGAAUGCAGGUGAGUUUAUUCCAGCAGGCUGGAAAAAGAGCAAACCCAAGGCCCUUCAUACCAGCGAUAUCUAAAAGCACCUUAAAACAGUGGUUCUCAACCAAGGGCACACGUUUCCCUGGGGGUACGCAGAGGUCUUCCAGGGGGUACUCAACUCCACCAGAUCAGUGUUUUGCAACCUGGAGGCAGCCCCUGGGGGGUCACGGGAUGAGUUUAAGGGGAUCAGAAGUGCCUGGCCAACAUCAGGGUAACAAACAGGGCAAUUGCCCAGGGCCCCAUGCCACAGGAGGCCUGUAAAGCUAAGUUACAUGCUUCAGCCUGGGGCUCGGGCUUCAGACAAGGCUCACAAGUGAAAAACAAGCUCAAGUAUCACACUGAAAUCAAUAGAUCGGGUUGUACACAGACAGAUCCUUUGGCUUCCCAGUUUGGACUGGAAGGAUCACAGAGGAGGGAAAGAAGACCAGUUUGGUGACACAGACUAGAUGAUCACAGUGGUCCCUGGAAGAUGUACAUGUCUUACGCUAUAGUUUGUCCAUCUCCUCCUGACUGACUGGCUCCGUGUGCCUCUGCCUCCCGCUCCCUCCUCCAGUCUGUGGUGCUGCCUGUGACAAGGCGUGUUUGGAGAAAGAUGAAUUGAAAUGACAUGCGAGCUCCAGCGUGACUGCUGGGCUGAUGCAUGAGGAGCCGUCACUUGCUUUCUGUGGUCCUGGACCUCCUGGUGCAUUUUGAAAGCAGGUGUGUGGCGUGCCAUUGGAUGCCAGGCUGUUCCUCUCUCGGUUGGGGAUAGCAGCUCAGACGCUGUCCCGAGCCUCCGGCCACCUCACUCUUGGAAGAGCAUUGCAGACAUGACUAGACACUUCUAGCUCCAGCUCCCCAAAUCCCCGGGGUGUUGGCCGGCAGCCAGCCUGCAGUGGAUUUGCAUGGCCCAUCAGACUGGUUGAAGCAGGGACUGAGGAUCCUGUAGCAGAGCUUUGCAAAUGUGCCACAAUGCCAGGGUUUAAAGUCCCAGCACUCCAGUCCACUGCUCUUUCACCAGGUAAAGGACCCAUGUUCGCAUCCUCUGCACUUCCUUUGGACCUUCAGCCUCUCUGGUGCUCCUUUGGGGAUCAGCUCUUUUAGGGCCUGAUCCUGAGCCAUGCAACUCAGAGGGAAUUUUGCCAUUGACUUUAAUGGGCACAGGAUCACCCCUCUAGUGCACCCCACUGGAAUCAUUAACUAAUUAAUGCUCAUAAUCUUCUUUGAAGAUGCAAAGGGCUACACUAUAUAGGCCAAAUUUUGAGAGGCUGCAACCCUCAUUGGGCCAAAUUCUGAAGACCCAAUGGUGCCUGCCCAGAACUUACUCAAGUCCCAUUGAAUUUUUGGGGAGUUUUUGCAUAAGGACAGGAUAAAAAUGAGUGAUGACUUUAGGAUUUGGCCCAGAGGUUAAGUAGGAAUAAAGGAUAGGAACAGCCUUGGGAUCUGGCCCAUUUUGCACAAUGCACAUAUGAAAGAAGCAAAGAUCCUGGGGGUGGCUGCAGAGAACAUCUGCCAUUGGGACUGGCUAACAAUGGCAGAACAAGAAAGUGAGCCAGAGGGCCUCAAGACAUCUCCACUGGCUCUCCAGCCUGUGUGCAUGUCCAUCAUGACACAACCAAAGGAGCAGUUAAAAAGAGCCUAUGGUAGGCAAGAACAGAUGUAGUGAGUUGGCACCAACAAGUAAAUCACCCGUCUAUUUAUGGUAGGUAAGGGAACCUGGGCAGGUAGACUUGCAACUGAGCACACCGACCACCAUAGCAGGUGCACAUUUUAACUGCUGCAGAUAUAAAUGCACACACACCUCCCCACACACCAAACUUUGAUUGCUCUAGUAGCCAGUACAAUGUCAAUGGUCUAAGUCUUGUGUCAAGGCACUGGCCCAAUUCAGCUUUAGCCAAGGGUUAAUAACCCAGGCCCAUCCUAGGUGAGUCAUAAUUGGGCUUUGGGGAAGUUUUUUUUUAACCCAGGUCCAAGAAUGGGUGGUAGUAUUUUUUUUCCCUUUUAGGAAGAAACUUAGGCCGAGGCUGGUUGCUGUGGUAACUGACAGCAGGCCUCAGACUGGGGCACAUGGAAGAGGUAAUAAGUCAAGCAAAGGUGCCACUUGAAAGCCAUUCCGUCCCUCUGAGGCAGGGAACCAGAGGAGCUGUGAAACCCUUAGCAGGUUCUGUCAGCCUUAUUCACACUUUAUCAGAUGGGGAAAGCCCAAAAGGCUGUGAGGCAGGUAAUUAAUCUUGGGCUAUAAUGGAAAGCCCUGUUGAAUGGGGGGGAAGCGGGGGCCUGGAGAGAAGAGAGGGGAACUUUCCAAAGUUUUGAAUGUUGGUUUUUUUUUUAUCAGAAGUUCACCCCUGUUUUAGCCAUUGUAAGCUUAUUUAUAUUUUUUCUUCUGGUUUUAUUUGUUCAUUUAUUUAGCGUCACAGUUUUCUCCCCACUAUAAAACAUAAUGAUGAUGAACUGAGUGUGUAACCCACACUAAUUAAGCCCCCGACAAUCACUAUGAGCUAGGCGAAGCAUACCCAGAUAAAUAGGUAGCAGCCUCCACUGGUAGAGGAAGGAUGGGCUUGUGGGCAAGGUACUAGGCUGGCAUUCAGAAAAUGAGGAUUCAGUUCUCCACUCUAUUACCAGCCUCCAGCAUGACCUUAGGCAAAUCACUGUGCCACCAUUCUUCCUCUGAAAUGCACAUACGCUUAUUUCCAUCUGUAUGUACGUCUACGUUACAAUUGCCUAUGUGUCCAGGGGACAAAAGAAAAUGCGAGUGAUGGUGGCUUAGACUCCUAUGAUUUACUGAGACUCGCCUCUGGAUCUGGCCCAGACAAUGCUGCAAUCAGGCAUCGCUACCCCAGUGGCUAAUGCGCAUGAUUGUACCUUGGUACCCAGCUACUCUUCCCCUGGUCCCCAAAACUCUUCCCUCAAAGGAGGCAACAACCCCACUGGAGAUGGAGUUAAACCAGCACUAAGAUCUUGUUAUGAACUAAUAGGAUCCCGUCACAAGACAAUGACAGGCCCGCACACUUAAAAUCAUGUCCCCUAGAUGAGCAUUGGGGACAGCCUCAAAGGCUGUACCCUGAAGAUUGAGAACAACUGUGUUAAAGGAAAUAACUAUUUACUCUGGGCCUCUUUGCUUUUGUUAUGUGUCUUGUUUGGGGCCUUGUUCCCAUGUUUAGGUCCCAGACGAUGGAGAAUUAUGGACUUGUAGGGGAUCUGCUUUCUUCUUUCAGAUGGAACAUCAAAUAGAGGGCUCAGCAUUCAUGGAGAGGGUGCAGAUUUCCAAAAGGGGCUCGGCAUUGGCUUAACUGUGCUGCCAUCAAAGAGGAUGGGUGCGUUCGUGCUGACUUCAGUGGGAACAGAGUUAGGCCAAUGCUGAGUGCUCUAGAAAAUCUCACUCGUGGUUAUUAAAAAGAUCCCGGGGCAUGUUCUGCGAGAGCAACAACUUGGCUAAACCCCAGCUCAGGUAACUGCAUUCUGACUCCACACCUCCAACCCCCAGGGCCCUUUCCACUCUACAGAGGAGGAGUUCUCUUCAUAACUCUUGCCCCCUGUGACAAGGUGUAUCUAUCCCGCACUGGCCCAGGUAGGGUUAACCACAACCUGUUGGCUGAAGAGGCCAUGCCCCCUUGCUGGGCGUGCUCCGACUGGAGACAGAGUGUAAGAGGAAGUAGCGCAGCUCAGCUCAGGCUGGGCUGACUGAGGAGGAGAGCAGUUGUGUGUUGCAGGCUCCUGUCAGGAAGCUACUGGAGCCCCAGACUGCAGGGGCCAGCCACCCCGAGACCCCUGCGGACACCCAGUCGACUUCCGAGGACAGCAAAGAAGAGAUUGCUGAUGCUGGGAGACUACUGCCACUGGACAUGAGGGUAGGAAGUGACCCAGGGAACAGGACUGUUGCAGUGAGAGACUGAACCUGAAUGCGGGAGUAUUGGUUCCCCAAGGCCCUGAAGGCAAGGGCUGCCACCUUCGCUUGGGCCGCUAGGCCAUGUGGCCCUGAAGAUAGGGGACACCCUAGUGUCUCUUGCCACUUGAGCUGCAACUACCCCUUUAAUUGUCCGCCUUGACCUAACACCCUACAGUGGGGUGUAUCUGUCCUGUGACACCCCCCAGAGCUCCCUCAGCUCCACCCUGAGAUGCAGCGGUCAUCCCCAUACCUACAAUCUCCCUAGUCUUUGUCCCAUACUGAGGGAGAGCAGUCUGAGGAGAAGCCCAUCCUUGCUUGCCCCAUCUCUCCUUCUCUCUGUUCUUUUUCCUCCUUGCCCAUUUGGCUUUCCAAGGUCUGAGGGUGGGUCAGCAGGUCAAAGUGAAGGAGCAGGAGCCUGUGCUUGUGAAAGACUAAGGAGUUCCAUGUUUGCCUGUACACAUCGCUGAGGACAAACGGCCUCUCGCUUGCUUACCCAUUACUGCUGCUGCCCCAGCACUGUGGGCUGGACUAAUAAAGCAUCAGGUUCCAGGUCAUGGCAUGGUCACCAGGGCAGUAACUUGGGGCAAGGUAUGGGUGAAAGGUAUGUCCCUUCCCUCCAACACCUCAAGAGAAGAAGCCCUGCAGCUAGUCUUUGAUUUGGGAUUAUUGUACACCUCUCCCACACACUCUCUGCUCCACAAUUUCAUCCAUGGGCCAGUGCAGGGCCUGAUACAGGGGCUGGAGGGAGGAAAGUUGUGCCAGGGCUAUAUGGACUGUUUUGGCCCCUGGCACAGACUAGGGCAUACUGAAGGCUGAUGUAACUUGCACUCCCUACUGCCACAGCCCUUGAGAGACCACCCUCACCAUGCCUUCUCCCUUCCCUGGCAUGCUCCACCCCACACCCAUGUCAGGACAUCGGCAUGCCCUCCAGCAAGGGCUUCUGGGUAGGCAGAGCUAGCAGAUCUGGCUCUGGGCCUGUCCUAGAAGCCCUAAGCAUUGUGGGGUGUCCCCAGGGGGGAGGGCUUACACCUACUCUGUGGUCCCUUUGCCUGCUGACUAAUUGUCCCAAAGGGGCCACAGAGCAAGUAGGAAUCUGGGAAAGUGCCUAAAUGAUUUUGGACUACACAGAAAGUCAAGGGGACUCAUGGCCCUAAAUUACCAAGGGGCUUUUGAAAAUGCCACACUGGCCUCCAGUGCUCAAGGUACCAGAAAAUCAGGAAUAGAAAUGAGGAGGUGAAAGGGAGAAGGAAAUGAAUCUCUGAAUGUGAUCUGACAACGGACUAGUAUCCACCCCCCUCCCUCAGCCCUCUCCAACACCUCCAGUUCCCUUUUGACAAGCUUUGCUUUCAAGUUCCCUAAUCAUACAUACAUAUAUUUCAAAAUUUCUCUGUGCAAAGGCCUGUUUCCUGUAUCUGUUGCCUAAUCUAUACAGCAUCUCUCCUCUGCACCAGUGUCACACUUGUUAGAAAAGCAAUGAGUCCCAAGCAAUGUUUACUGCUGAUCUGAAAUUAUCUAUCACUCAGCCCGCUUUUCUCUACAGGGCCAUCAAUCUUAUCACCUGCAGACGGGAGCCAAGUGGCAGAGUUCAUCUCUCUCUGGAACCCUUUUGUUUUUUUUUCUGCCUUGCUCUUUCUCUCCCUUGCAAAAGAAUUUCUCUUUUGUUGAGAAGAUACCUGCCCCUCUCUUGCUCUCUUUUUUUUUUUUUUUUUCUGCAUAAGGUGCAGAUGACUUGGCUCUCUGAACCUUCCAGGGGAAUUGGCUGCUGGCUGCAUCAGUUCAUGGUUUCCACCUUGAUGGUGGCCUGGGAUGUUUCAGGUCAAAGAGACUCUGGGAUGUGGGCUGCUGGAACAUCCCUCUCAAAUCUCAUCAGUUAAAUCAGGGAGAGUGGUGCUGACAGAGAACAGGGAACAAAAGAACCUUGGAAUCGGGGACAUGCUAGAGAUUUUAUGGCAAGGGUCAGGGAUCAAGUCUAGCUACAGCUGAACAAAGGAAACAUUUAUUUUAUUUUAACAAAGCCAGAUUGGUAUUGAAAGGGAUAGGGGGAUGGCCUUAUACAUUCUGAUCCCUUAGGUGUAAAAGAAUGAGAUUGCAUUCAAAUGACUCAAGGAACAUUUCUGAUGCAAAGUCAUCAGAUCUGGGACUCUGAAGAGAGUUGUGAGUUUCAGAGGCUGGAGACCAAGGUUUCACGUUAGCUGUUGGAGAUUCACAUCAGACUUGGUCACAGGAGAGCAGGGGUGUGCACAAGGUGGGGCAACCAGGAGCAUGGGUCUCCCAAAUAAUUGGCAGCACAGUGAUCCUUGGGCCUGGGUGGGGUCACAGGCCGUGCCCCUCCGAAAGCAAUGACAUUUAAAUUCCUGUGCACACCCCUGCUGGAGAGUCACGGUAUUGCAGACUCAGGUUCAGAUUUAGAUGUUUGGCUUUCACAUGUCCUGCAUGGUGUUUGGGUGUUUAAAAACUCAGAUAGGGGCUGAACUGUGGGUUAGGUUUGUGGGGAUUCAGAUGCUGAGAGAUUCAAGUGUUUGGGUGUUGGUGAGUCAGACAUGGGUUCAGGUAUUGAAAAUGCUGUGUGUAGCUUUUCAUAGCCGAACAUGUAGAUUUCUU